AUCAUGGAGAGUUUGAUCCUGGCUCAGAACGAACGCUGGCGGCGCGUCUUAAGCAUGCAAGUCGAAUGGCAAGAUAGAGCUUGCUCUAUCCUAGAAUGGCGGACU
rnacentral:rRNA from 1 species